rnacentral:lncRNA from 1 species
UCGAAGAAGGUUAGUGGAAGAGAGGUGGGAGGAAGGGUUGGUGCAUGAAAUGGUUCCACUGAACAAACUUGGAUAACUUUGAGAGGUUCCGGUGAUGAUGCUGGUUCAGCCAUGGUUCAAAGGAAGCCAAGGGAUGAGGGUUUUUAUAGGAUGGGGGCACCUUCAUAACCUGCUAUAACUACUUUUAGCGGUGAAACUAAAGGGAUUUAUUUUAAAAAUAUAACAUAUUUAUUAUAUAAAUUUAGUUUGAUAAAAAUAAAAAUAGUAUAAAAAUAAGUAAUGCGGUUAUUUGAUAAACAUAUCAUAUCAAUAAUACUAAAUAAAAAGAUUUUAUUGACACCAAAAAGUAAGAUACAUAGCUAUGACAAACUAUUAUGAUAAUAUAAUAAUAUUUUAUAUAUUUUUCCAAUACCAGGAGAAAGAGAAAAAACAAAACAUAAGGUGAAUCAGAGCUAAAUAUUCGACGAAGACCCGUAGGCAGAGAUUGACCCAUCCAUCAACAAACAUUCAGCACAACCAUUCUUUUAUCUGAACAAAUGCUGAUUGGAAAAAAUUUCCAGUCUGGAGAAGUAGUUUUUUUCUUUUUUAUCAUAAUAGAAUGAUAAUCAUCACCGAAUAAACUUUUGGAACGGAACAAAGGUUUAAAAAAGAUGGAGGCUCGGUGGCAAGGAGGUCAGGGAGGACCUGGUUCAAACCGUAAAGUUCAUAGUAGCUCAAAUAAUUUUACAACGUUCUUCUUUGCAAAUAUCUCAAAUGGGUAUGGGAAAUUGGACAUGAUCAAGAUUUUCAAAAGAUGGAUUAGGGUUAAGGAAGUGUUUAUCUCAAGAAGGCUUAAUAAUUGGGAGAGAAGAUUUGGGUUCGUUAAAUUCUUCGAAGUGAGGAAUGUGGGGAGGAUAGAGAUGGAUUUAGAUCAGAUAUACAUUGGUAAUAAGAAGCUACACUAAACAUUUCGAGAUACAGCAGGAGUGAGGUGGAACCUAAAAGGGUGGAGAGCGAAAACAGGGUGAAGCAUACAGAGAAGAUAAGGAACCACAGAAAGAUGCAAGAGGAGACUCGUGUCUUCCAUGAUCAGAAGAGAACAAAGGAGGUUUGGAAGGUGAAGACAGGGAGAAAAUCUUUUGUGUUGUCAAAGAGGAUUCACAAAGGAGUUGGAAGGGGCCAAUCAUUAAAACAGAACAACAGGUUUUACCUUGGAUGGAGUACAGCGUGAUUGGGCAGUUUAGAGUGAAUUGGACUUUGAACAGCUGGGUGACAAAUUUGUGAAAGGAGGCAUGAUCAUGGUUAGAGUGAGGUAUAUGGAAAUAAUCUCGUCCUCCUUACCCCGCGAGAAGAUCACAUGACAGUGCAUAAAGUUCUACACAAGUCCCCACUUGAAAUCAAAGGGGUCCCCAAAUACAUUGACACACCAGAAGUGAAACUAGUAUUGCACUAUCCAAUUCCCUAACCUUAAUUAAGCUCACUAGAGUCCCAUUUGAACCCUCACAAUACCAAAACAAAUAACUUUCAAACAAUAAGUUGGAGGAUCACAUGACAAUGCAUAAAGUUCUACGCAGGUCCCCACUUAAAAUCAAAGGCGUCGCCACAUACAUUGACACACCAGAAGUGAAGCUAGUCUUGCACUAUCCAAUUCCUUAGCCUCAAUUGAGCUCACUAGAGUCUCAUCUGAACCCUCACAACACCAAAAAAAAUAACUUCCAAAAAUUAAGUUGGAGAAUCACAUGACAGUGAAUAAAGUUGUACACAGGUCCCCAAUUAAAAUCAAAUGGGUUUCCACUUCACAGGUCUGGUCUCGUGUGCAUCUCUCGACCUUGAUGAAGAUUAAAUUUUUUUUAUCAGUUAUAAUGAGGUGUCUUUAUUUAAACUGCCUUCUGUGGUGGCAGACAAGUUAGUUCGGAUCCAAAGGAAUUUCCUUUGGGGGUGGGGCUCUGAUGGAAGGAAGAUCGCUUGGGCUUCUUGGGAUAAGGUGUGUGAGCCUCGGGAUUCUAGAGGUCUUGGAAUCAUUGAUCUUAGGAAAUUUAACUUGGCUUUAUUAGGAAAGUGGAUUUGGAGACUGGGUACGGAUAAAGGAGGUUUGUGGAAAGAGAUUCUUUAUUCUAAGUAUGGUGGUUGGAGAAGUUUGAGAGAAGGCGGUAAGUCUAGUAGGGGCUCUCUCUGGUGGAAAGAUUUGAAGGAGGUGUGGGAUUCAGAGGGUUGGGGUAGAAGUUUUAAAGAUGGGUUUAAGUGGAAAGUGGGGAAAGGUAAGGAGAUUUUUUUUCUGGGAGGACAGUUGGUUGAGCUGUGGUACUUUGAAGGGAGUUUUUCCAAGAUUUUUCUCUCUAAGCUCGGCUAAAAACGCAAAAAUGGCUGAGCUUGGGUAUUGGUAUAAUGGUGAAUGAGUGUGGAAUUUGGACUGGCGUAGAUCAUUUUUCGACUGGGAGAAGUCUUUGAACAGCUGUUUCAAAGUCUGCAAAAGGUGAAGUUGGUUUUUAGGGAGGCGGACAGUUGGGUCUGGAAGAUUGGGGAGAGUCAAACUUUCUCAGUCAACUCUGCCUAUGUUCAGGUAAGGCGGGUUAGAGGAGGGGAGUAUUCUCCUGUGUAUAGUAAGUUGUGGAGGUGCAAAGCCUUGCCAUCUGCUUUGUUCACUGCUUGGAGGGUGUUGGAGAAUAGGAUUGCCUCUAGGGUUAACUUGGUAAGGCGCAGAGUGGCGGUAGAAAAUCUCUUGUGUUGUUUGUGUGGGGAGGAGGAGGAGUCAUCUUGUCACUUGUUCUUUGUUUGCAGGUUUUCUUGGCGUGUCUGGUGUCUGUGCUUUAAGUGGCUUGGUGUGUCGUCUGUAAUUCACAAGGACCCUAAGUCAAAUUUUUCACAAUUCAGGAUGAGUCAGGCUUCUGUUUCGGUUAACGAAGUUUGGGGUACAAUUUGGGUUGGCAUUGUGAGCGAAAUCUGGAAACAUAGGAACUCGGUCAUCUUCAAUAGAGGUGUGGCAUAUGUGUCUGAAGUAUUCGCUUCAAUGCAAGUAAAGGUAUGGUCUUGGAUUUAUGCAAAGUCUCGUUCUGCUUAUUUCCCUUAUUCUAGUUGGGUUUUAAAUCCUUUGGCUUGUAUGAGGUUUAUUCAUUAACAUUGGUUAGUGUUGGUAUGGUUAUCCCUUUGCUAAUUUGGUAAGCGUUCUAAUAGGAGACUGGUAUCAAGUAUUUUUGUAUAAGGGUUGGACCACCCCUGAAGUGGUCCCUAUUUAUUUAUUUAUUUGUUUUAUUGUUGAUAAAAAAAAUAAUGAGGUGUCUCGACCGUGAUGAGGAUUAACAUCCCGAUCAGAGUCAUAAUGAGGUGUACAAACCUCAUGUGCAUAUCCUAGUCGCGAUGAGGAUUAAGAUCCCGAUAAAAGUCGUAAUGGGGUGUACAAACCCCGUGUGCAUAUUUUGACAGUGAUGAGGAUUACAAUAUCGAUCAUAUUCAUACUGAGGUGUACAAAACACGUGUGCAUAUCCCGAUCGUAAUGAGGAUUAAGAUCUUAAUUAGAGUCAUAAUGGGGUGUACAAAACCCGCAUGGAUAUCUUGAAUGUGAAGAGGAUUACAAUCCUGAUCAGAGUUGUAAUGAGAUGUACAAAUAUCCCAUGCAUAUCCCGACUGUGAUGAGGAUUAAGAUCCUUAUUAGAAUCAUAAUGGAGUGUACAAACCCCACAUGCAUAUCCCGACUGUGAUGAGGAUUAAUAUCUUGAUCAAAGUCAUAAUGGAGUGUACAAACCCCACGUGCAUAUCCCAAUUGUGAUGAGGAUUAAGAUCCUUAUUAGAAUCAUAAUGGAGUGUACAAACCCCACAUGCAUAUCCCGACUGUGAUGAGGAUUAAGAUCCUGAUCAAAGUCAUAAUGGAGUGUACAAACCCUAAAUAUUAGAAAUCACCAACAAAUUUAAUUUCUCUACAGUGUCAAUAUAGAAUGUUAGUGUAAUGAAUUGUCUGGUUGAAUGAUUGGAUGUUGUUUUAACCUAGGUCAUGACGAGACAACUAAAAAAACAUUGAUAAAAAAUUCAUACAAUAGUCAUCAUACUUUAUUAUGAAAAACUACGGAAAAAGCAAAAUAAAUGGUCUGUGAUACCAGACUUAGGGUUUGAAAUUUGGUUAAAUGUGGAGAGGUCUUACCACCCUACAACGUUCGUCUUAAGACAAUACCUUUUAUUAAAUAUACAAAAAUGAAUGUAAUAUUUUUUAGAAUAUUUAUUUUCUAAAAAAACAAAAAUACAUGUGAAAAUAAAAAGAAAAUAUUUUUUAAAAUUUUUAUUUGGGUCUGAUAAUAAUUAACCUUAGUCGUCUGUAUUUUCAUUUACAAUAGAAAAUUAAGUUUUACAUAAGGUCAAAAAAAUGUUGAUUGGUUUUUAUAAUUUUAAAAUUUUAAAAUUUUAUAUUUUUUAGGAUUUAAUUUUUUUGUAUAAUUCACGCUAAUUAAAAUAUAAAAUUGUUCGAGAGACUAUAUUUAAUACUCUAUAUACUCUUUUAUGAAUCAUAUAGUAAGUACAAAAAAUAAUGUAAAUUAUACAUCGAUAUUUUGAUCGUUUACAUUUUAAGUGAAAUUUUCACUGUCAAAACAUAUUUUUUUUAAUGAAAAUUCAUAUUUCUUUAUUUAUUUCAAUAUAUCAAAGAGAUGAUGUAAUCAUACAAGUGUCUAAAAUUUAUUUGGAGAUAGUAUCAAAAUUAUAUUUUUAUUUCUUCUUUUUAUUAUUUUUGAACAAAAUAAAAAAAAUGUUGUGUAUAUGAAAAACGGGUGCCAAAUAGUAGGAACAGAGCCGAAUAAAAGGCCUGCGCUUUUCAAAGAAAAUUAAAGUUGGUGUAUAAAAUAAAUAGCGUGUGACAAAUAACAAAAAGGUCUGGCCAGCUGUUUGUGAAAAUGGUUGGCUAGACAAAUAGGCCCAGUUUGUUUUGGAAAAAACAUUAAACCGACAGGAUGGUGCAUAUAAAAAAUAUGCUGCAAAUAGUUAAAGACUGGGCCGAACUAAUGGGCCCAAACUCUCUCUUCUUUAAGAGAACAAAAUGCUGGGCUUGGUAAUAUCAAACUGGGGGCCUCAAAUAGUAAAUGGUCUGCAUUUCAAAAUAAUAACAAAAAAUGGAAAAAUUGUCAUCAAUUCCUUUUAAAUGGAAACAAAAACAAAAAUAGCCCCAUACCAACCAAAUGAGAAAAAAAAGUAUCUCUCCACCUCUAUAUUAAUUGUGAAAAAUCAGUUUUAACCUUUUAAAAUUUUUUAAAUAACCCUAUGUGAAGUAUAAUCUCAUAUUUUUUUAAUAACUUCAGUUGCACCUCAUACUUCCCUUUCAUUCUUCUCUAGCCCUAGCGUUUGAGAGGAUGGUCUCAUCAUUUGAGCGCAUGUGAGAUGGUUAGUGAGAAGAUUCGUUAUAUUCAAUGUUUUCUAAAUAUUUUGUAUUCCAUUUUUGUACUUUGUUGAUUUUUUUUCUAGGUUUUGUGUCUUCUAAAUUUUUUUAAAAAAAAUAACGAAAAUACAGUUAUCAAUAAAAACAUUACAAAAUUUAUUUCAACCAAAAUUUACCACCGACUAAACCCUAAACCCUAAUCUUGGACGUAAAUAUAUAACUAAAAGAAGCACCUACAAACUUAAAAACUUACCGAGACAAAAACGUAUUCUACGAAACUUUGUGCAGCGGACACUCAUCAACCAUGGAGAAAAACCAUUGCAGUCAUCACCUGUUAACAAAAAAAAAAAACACGUAUCCUUAACCUCUACAUACGAGACACGUGUAAGGAUAAUGUCUGAGGGAAGAAAGGAAGAAGGAAGAGAAGGAAAGAAAGAUUUUACUGUGUUCUAACUGUUUUACAGAAAUCAGAGGGUCAUAUCUAUAAAACUGAGAAAGGGAUAGAUGGUCCCAUGAACAGUAACACGGUCUAUCUCGUAACAUCUUUCCUUAAAAUUGCGGUGGGAAAAACACGAACCACAAGUUUAAAGUUUAUGUCUAAGUCUAAUAAGGAGGCACGCACACGAUAUAGGUUUCGUGAAAAGAUCAACAACUUGAAAGUAGAUAGAUUUGUGAGAAGGUCACUAAUUUAGAAGUACGUUGGAAAGUGAAUGAGUUCGAGUAAACGUUUUUUUAUGAACCUGACAAGAUUUGUCUAACUCAAAGUGUUCAUCUAACUCAUUAUUUGGAGUGAGAAUGUAUAAUAGACUUCAUUAUUGUUAUGAGAAAAAAAAAAUUAAAUUAAAUUAGUUACUAUAGCAAAUUUUAUAAACAGAUUCAAAGAUACUGGUGUGUUUAAAAAAUAUUAUAUAUAGGUGCAAAAAGAAAAGAGUCAAGCAGCCUCUAAGUUCAAUAAGAGAGUCUUAUAAAUAGAUGUUCAACAUAAAAGGUAAGUAGAGUGAAUUAGAUAUCAAUUAUUUAGAUUCUAAAUUUGCUAGCAAAAACCUUAGUUGCUAAUUUGAUAUCAAUAUAAAAACCAUUUAACAAUAAUGGAAACUAAUUUAGAAACUAAAUUUUUUUUGUCUCAAAAAUGGUUUCUACUUUAGUCACUAUAGCAACUAAUUAUUUUUUGUCUCUAAAAUUGGACUCUAUUUCAUGAUUUUCUUGUAGUGCAAUGUGUAGCUCAGUGAGAAACGAUUGGACCCAAGUGAUGUUAGCAAGCUGGUAUGCUUCUCUAUUUUUUGGUACUACUAUGGGAAACAACUUUUUAUUUUUGAGAGUCCCAUGAGAUUAAGUUGCAUCCAAAAUACACACAAUAACCAGUUGUAGAUCGUUUGUUGUAUAUAUCAUACCCCUAGUCUACAUCACUAAAGUCGAUGAUGGAAAAACUAGAAAAUAAUGGGUUAAGAAUAAGACCACGAUGCAUUGUGCCAACUAAGUACCGUAAAAUCAAUUUGACAACCUUCCAAUGAUGUUCUUCAGAGUUAUGCAAUUAUUAGCAAACUUUGUUGACAGAGAACGAGAGCUCCAAUCUAUUGAUAGUAAGAUAUUGUAGAACACCGACUACAGACUACAAAUCUAUAAUGAGUGAAGUCUUGAAUAACAGUGAUUCUAUCUUGUAUUAGCUUGAGAGAAGAGACCAUAGGGGUUGCUUGAGGACGAGCAAUUUAGCAUGUGUGUUCUGUUAAGAAGUUCUUUGGUAUAUUUGCUUUGAGUUAGAUGAAGACCGUCAUUAGAUGUAGGAAAAACCUUUAUUCCAAGAAAGUAGUGUAGGUAACCGACGUCUUUUAACGAAAAUUUAGAUUGAAGAAUGUUGAUGAAUUAUUGAACAACGAUAGUUGUGUUUCUUGUUAUUAUUAUGUCAUAAACAUAUAUGAAAAUGUAUAAUGUGUUACCAUGCCAAAAUUUGAUGAAGAGAGAUGAAUCGUUGACUCAAGCAUCAAAGCCCAUGUCUGAUAGAGUUUGACUUAUUUUGUAAAACCAGGAUCAAGGAGCGUGCUUCAAGUUGUAGAUAACUUUAUCGAAUUUGCAGACAAGAUGAGGGUGAUUAUAAUUGAAACUCGAUGAUUGUUAUAUGAAGGCAAUCACUUUGGGUGUGUUUGGAUUGAGGAGAGGAUUUGAGAGAGUGAAUUUAGAGUGAUUUGAGAGAAAAGUGUAAAGAAAGAGAGGUUGUUUGGAUUAGGGUAUAUUAUAGUGGAUUUGUGAAGAAAGUUUAUUGAAGUUUGUGAGUGAUAUGAUAGUUGUAAGAAGAUUUUUAUUUUUUUUAAAUGUGUAAAAUAGAAGUUUACAAAUUUACCCUUUCUCUAAAAAAUAUUUAAAUAAUAAAAUAUAAGAUUUUUAUAAAUAUAAAUUUUAGUUAAUUUAGAUUUUAUAAAUAUAUAUAAAAAUAUUUUCAUAAUACUAUUAUUAUAUAAAUUAUCUUUUAUUAUAAAUAAUUAUAUUUAUUAUUAUUAUUUUAUUUUUAUAAUUAAUUAUUAUUAUUAAUAUUAUUAAAUAAAUUUAUAACAUCAAGGAUAAUAAGGAUAAUUAACAAUGUCUAUGUGGCUUUCUUUGUAUAUCUUCGGACACAAGUGAAGAUAGAAAAAGUUAUUUCCGUAUUUUUUUCGCUCACAAAUGCUCGGUAAUUAAUAGAAAUAGACAAAAAUAAAAUAAUCCAUGCUUUUCUUUCUUCGUGUACAGUGAAUAAGCAGAAAAGCUUUGAGAUUUCCAUGAGAAUAUGCAUUAUCAAUAUCAAAUAUGAUGGAUGAGUCACUUCAUAAACAACGCUUGAGUGAAAAUGUGGCAGACUUGACAACUGGACUAAAUGUACUAGAUUUUUUUUUUGUUUUAUACCGUGCUAGAUUUUGUUUAUAUCUUAAUAAAUACUAAAUGAUAUGAGCAACUAUAAUAAUAAUAAUACUAGAUAUUCAAUAAAUAUUUUAAUCACAAUUUAUUAUUUGUAAGAUUUUUAAAAAAAUAAAAUAAAGUAUUUAUAAAAAAUGUUACAGAACUUAUUCUUUUUAAAAUAUUUUAUAAAAAUAAAAAUUUCAAAAUAAUUAAUUUUAAAAAAAAUUCUCUUUAGAAAAAUCUAAGACUUAUAUAAAAAAUUUAAUAAAAAGAAAAAUGAUUGAUUAACACCUUAACGGUCCUUUGUAUCCAACGACAGAAUUUUAGAGAGUGAAAAAAUGCACUGAAAACACACGAAUCAAGAAAUAAAAAAAUAUUAAAAUAUAAAAAUUGAGACAAAAUUGUAUGAGUGUUCUUUCUUUACAUACGAAGAAUUAUAAAAUGAUAUAAAUUUUAUAUUAUUUUUUCACAUAAUAUAAAUUUUAUUAAAAUAUUAAUAAAUAUAUAAAAUGAUAAUUAAAAUAAAAUAUAAAUAAUUAAUUUAUGAAAUAAUAAAUAUAAUUAAAAAUAAUAAUUAAUAAUGAUAAAAAUAAAUAAUAGUAAAAUUAAAAUUAAUUUAUAAUAUAUGUCCCGACCAGUCUUUGGUCAUCGACUCAGAGACUGACCUCAGACAUCGUGCAUCGAUGCUUGGUAAGGGACGGGGGCCACGAGGCGGAACCCAGAUGAUAAGUGCCAAUGUGUAGUUUUUAUGAUUGAGAAAAUUGAACACUUUGGAACUUAAUUGUUGCUUAAUGUAAGAAAAUUACCCUAAUCUGAGAAUUAUUGAAUCUGAUUAUAUAUUUUGAACCAAGAAACAAAUGAAGAAAUUUAAUCUCAAUUUUUGUGUAAAUUGCAGAUGAAUAUGAAGCAUUGAAAGAAUUAUUCAAGCUGGCAUUGAAAGAAAGAAAGUAAAAACUUAAUUGGAUCACAAGAAGAUUUAGCUCAAGCUAGAGGAUUUAGCUCAAGCUAAAACUGUCUAGAGUUGAUUAAAGGUGCAGUACAAUUCUAGCCCAGGCUAGAAUUGCUAGCUCAAGCUAAAACUGUCCAGAGUUGAUUAAAAGGUGCAGUACUGAUCUAGCUCAGGCUAGAAUCGCUAGCUCAAGCUAAAAAUGCACCGAAAGAUCUAGCUUAAGCUAAAAUGGGCUAGCUUGAGCUAAAGUUGAUUAUAUAAAUUCUGAAACAUAACUCAAAACCAGCGGUGGAAAACAGAUUGGGUUUUUUAGAGAGAGACUAGUGAGAGAAAGAGAAGAAACCUCUGUUCUUAGGAGAAGAACUUGCUCAGAUCAGCCCUUCUUAUGCAAUCCAGAUCAAGAAUGAAGAUUGGAGGAGCUGUCAUGAGUGGCUAAGUUCUUUCUAACUUGGGAUUGAAUGUAAUUUAUCUUGAUCAAAUGUAUUCUUGGUGAUAUAUAUAUAUAUAUAUAUAUAUAUAUAUAUGUGCUGUAGAUUGCCGAUCUUUGGAGGGGCUUUACGUUAGCGCAAGAAUCAANNNNNNNNNNNNNNNNNNNNNNNNNNNNNNNNNNNNNNNNNNNNNNNNNNNNNNNNNNNNNNNNNNNNNNNNNNNNNNNNNNNNNNNNNNNNNNNNNNNNUCUAUAUUUGAUAAGUUGGUUUUGUUACAUCCAGAAUCAAACCCUAAAUCUUUGAGUUCUUGUGAAAUCUUUAAUUUGGUUAUGAACAAAGUCUCAAAAUUAUUUUCUAUACUUAGUGAGUUUUAAAACAGAACAUCUUAAUUAGAAUUGUUCCCUGUGGGUUCGACAUUCGUACUUUAAAGAGUACUAUAUUACAGUUGAUUCGGUACACUUGCCGAGAAAUAUCAACACCAGACACACUUACCAGGGGAACAAUUAGUCUUUGGACAUUGGUAUCAUAGACCCCGAUGUUGGAGAUCGACAUCGGACCCCGCCAGUAGAGGGAGAAGAUCGGACAUCGGUGGUUUGAACAUUGUACAGGGCCACGUAAGGUGGGCCCUAAAGUUAUGAUAAGUUAACAGUUAAAGACAUGAGAUAUGUGGGAAGCCUAAGUCACGAGGGAUCCAUGCACGUGGUGUGUAUGACGCAUGAAGGCGCAACACGUGUGAAUAAUCCUGGGAGGCGUUAAAGCCCAUUAGGGUUAGGGUUUUCAGGGAAAGUUGCAUGCAUGGCACGUGAAUACUUAGGGAACCCACAAAGCAGAUGGCGCUAGAGAUUAGGUGCACAAGUUGGUACCCAAGCGGCCACUCUGUUAUUCGUUGCACUCCAGAUAAGGGAAGUUCAUGUGCUAGAUACGCUAAGAUUCUGUGAAUAGCGGCGCAAGGACGCUCCCCAAGGAACCCUAGAUAAGGGUAACAACACAAAGGUAAACCCUAGCUUCAACCUAUAUAAAGGGUGCCAAAACCCUAGAAAGGUACACAGUUUCUAAGACUGAAGCUAAUAUACACACUUGGUGUUUCUUUGCCCUAAUACUGACUUGAGCGUCGGAAUGCAAACGGUCGCUAGGGCGUCCUUUUGUCUUUGCAGGUGAGAGGUUUCUUGAUCAAGGACAUUAGAUUCUCAGGCGGAGAUAGAAGGGCCAAAGGCUACCGUUGGAGUCAACCGGCAAAGCGAGUCAACCGGCAGGAACAAUAUACAUUUUACACCUUUUAAAAAAUUAAAAAAAUUUCACACAAUCAUCACAUUACUCACAAAAUUCAAUAAACUUUCCUCACAAAUCUACUUUAACAUACCCCAAUCCAAACAACCUCACUUUCCUCUCAAAUUAAUCCAAAUCCACUCUCUCAAAUCUCUUCCCCAAUCCAAACACACCAUAAACGAUAAUUUACAUUUUAUCUAUAUCUAGAAAGAAAAAAAUAAUGUAAUUUUAAAACAUGUAUAUAUAUAUAAUACAAAUAGAGAGUACUCUUAGGAUAAGUUUAAACACGUGUCAUCACCAGAAUUUUUCACAAAUAAAAAAUAAAAAAUAUUUAAUACCAAAAAUAGAAAAACUUCCACCAAUCAACACAACACACCCGGACCAACCAAAAUGUGCCACGUAGGAGUUUUUAAAAGUAAAAUUUCUCUCUCUCAAACCGCUAUCCCUCUUUUUUUGUAUAUCACUCUCUUCUCUCUCAAACCGCUAUCCCUCUUUUUUUGUAUAUUACUCUAAUUGUUACGUUUUCGCAUUUUUUAGGGUUUUCUUAUUAAAGUUGCUUGCUUUUAUCUUUUCGACCGAUACUUUUGAUUUGUGGUUUGUUUUCUCCAGUCUUUUUGCCAUUUUUGGUUCUCUGUUUCUUACAUUUUUUCGUAACUGAUGCAGUUUGUAGGUUUUUCUGUUCAAAGUUUCUUUCUUUUAUCUUUUGUGUCGAUUCUCUUCAUCUCUUUUAUGGUUUAUUUUCUCCAUUGUUCAUAUCUUUUUCAGUUUGUUUAAUCUACUAUUCUUGAUAUUGUUGCUUAUCUGUUUGUUACAUUUUUUCACAACAUAAAAAUGAUUUUUUUUUGUUUUCUUAUCAAAGUUGUUUGUUUUUAUCUUUUAUGUUGAUUCUCUCCAUCUCUUUUAUGGUUUGCUUGCUCCAUUGUUCUUGAUAUUUUUGCUUCUUUGUUUGUUAUGUUUUUUCACAACAUAAAAAUGAUUUUUUUGGGUUUUCUGAUCAAAGUUGUUUGCUUUUAUUUUUUCUGUCGAUUCUCUUCAUCUCUUUUAUGGUUUGUUUCAUCCAGUGGUUUUGAUAUUGUUAUUUCUCCGUGUUACAUUUUUUUGCAACAUAAAAAUGAUAUUUUUAGAUUUUCUUAUCAAAGUUGCUUGGGUUUUAUGGACAAGAAUAUCACCUCAUUUUUGUCGUUUUCUGCAUUUUUUUUCUUUUUUGUUCAAUGUUUCUUGCAUUUUUUUUUCUGUCCAUUUUGUUCAUCUCAUUAUUUGGGUUUUUUUUUCACUUUUUCCUUUUCUGAUCAAUGUUUCUUGCGUUUAUUGGUUCUGUUCAGUUUGCUCUUCUCAUUCUUUUCGUUUUCUGUAUUUUUUUCUAUUUUGUUCAGUGUUUCUUGCAUUUAGCUUUUCUAUCCAUUAGUUAAUCUCAUUCUUUUCAUUUUUUUGCAUAUUGUUUUCUUUUUUGUUCAGUAUUUCUUGCAUUUACCUUUUUUGUUCAUUUUGUUCAUCCAUUCUUUUUUGUUUUUUGCAGUUUGUUUUCUUAUUUGCCAGUGUUUCUUGCAUUUAGCUUUUUUGUCCAUUCAGUUCAUCUCUUUAACGAUUUUUUUUUGGCAAUCUAAUGUUUUUCUUCUUCAUCUAAUUUGUUCAUUGAUCCAACUUUUGAAAGUUUAUUUUGUUGAAAUCUGUUUAUGUUUCCAUCACUAAUUACGUGUAAUGAUGGUUUACUGCUCAUCACUUCCUAUGUAUUCAUUAUUACAUUCAUUAAAUCUUAUUGCUAAGUGUCAUCUAACAACAUUUUUUGUGAGUUGGGUCUUAUAAUAUCAAUCCUUUUCUUUAGUUGGGCCUUAUAAUAUCACUUCAUUUUUCUGACCUUAAUAAUUAGUAAUAUAUUAUAUAACUUAGCAAAAUGUUUUGUUUGGUAUUCUUUCUUUACUGCUUCAAAGCAUAUCAGAUUCAGAAUUGGGAUGACAAUACUAGGUUGCCAACCAAGGGUAGAUUGAACUCUAUGAACAUCUGUGGUGAGGUAUGUUGUAUUCUUUUUAGUUAACUAACAUUAUUGUUUUACAAAAUACGAUAAAAACUAAUCAUGCAAUUAUAUACAAAUUGUUAAAUGAUAUUGCUUUUGUGGAUAUUUCUAUUGAGCUCAGUGUUCAAUUUGGAUUGUCAUGUGUAUUGAUACUUUAUGGUUCACUUAUUUUAAGUACCAUUGUAAUAUUCUUUUAUUUUAUUGGUGGAGUACUUGGCAUCAAUUUAUGUGCCUAACUCCAAAUUCAAGUUUCUGUAGAGAACCAAAUUCAUGUAUUCAAUAAUUUGUCAUAUUGGUUUAUGUAGUUAUUUUUUGUUAUUUUAUCCAGUAGUUUGCAUAAUUUGUUGUAUUCCUAUUUCCGUAUAGAAACACAAUUUUUUUUUAUUUACAAAUCUUAAAUUAAUAAAUGUAGUACUUAAAUAAAAAUUUGCAAUAAAUAAAAUACCUAAAUUAUUUAAAAUUAAAAAUAAAUAGAAAUCCUAAAUUAUUGAAUGUCAUACUUAAAUAAAAAAAAUUACAAUAAAUGAAAUUCCUAAAUUAUUUAAAAUUAUAAAUAAAUAAAUACAAAUCCUAAAUUAUUGAAUGUCAUACUUAAAUAAAAAUUUACAAUAAAUAAAAUUUCUAAAUUAUUUAAAAUUUUAAAAAAAAUAAAAAUCUUAAAUUAUUUAAUGUCCUACUUAAAUAAAAUAUCUAAAAUAAAUAAAAUUCUUAAAUUAUUCAAAAUAUUAAUAAAUAAUAAUUCUAAAAUAUUUAAUUCUAAAAAAUACAAACAUUAAAUUAUGUAUUAAAAAAUUAUUUCAAUUAAAAUAACUAAUUGUUGUAAUGCAUUCAGACAUGUAUUUGGUUGUUUGUUUACAAGAACAAGCGGCACAGUCACCGAUGAACAAAAAUUAAUAGAAGUUUUUGUUAAUUAAAUUUAUUGUAUCAUAUUAUUCUAUCUUAUUUAUUCUGUAACUAUUAACUUGAGUUGUAUAUUUCUUUAAACUACUGAGACAAAAACUAUGACAAGUACGCAAUCAUUCUUCAUAAUUUUUUUUAAAUAUUUUCAUGAUUUUAUUAAUUGUCCAUGGUUAUAUUUAGAUUUUUUUACUUUUUGCAAUAAUGCAAUUAACGUGUUGUGCUAAUUGAGAUGUGUUGACAUUAAAUAUAAUAUUUAUCAACACUUAUAUUAUAACACCUAAAGAAAAGCAACUAUGUAGUCCAUUUUGUAUUGUUUUUUAGUAUGUUCUGUUGUUUUACUGAGUAUUUCUUCUGUUACAAAGAUUUAAAUUUAACAAUACAUCUUACUCAUGUUGUUCUGGAAAUUAUUUUACAUUUUUCAUGAAAUUGUUGUAUGAAUUGAGCGUUAAAUAGAGUUGGUAAAAAGUAAUGAAGUUGUUGCAUUAUUUUGUAACAGUAUUUCUGAUAAUUCAUGAUAUGCUGCGUUAUGUGACAAUUACUAUGUCAAAAAGUGUUUAUUUAAUAAUAAGAAGUCAGUAUACAAUGUUUUCCAAAAUACGAUUAUAUAUUUUAAGUUAUGACUUGUUGUCUUUAGAACAAUGUGUUUAUCAUUGCUAUGUGGUUAACAUGUAUAAUAAGACAGCUACACCAAUAUAUGAUUUUUAAAAUUACUUUCUUCAUUAUUACCUCAUGGAUAUUGUAUCUAAAAGAUUCCCUAUAUUUUAUUUUUGCAGCUAUAAAAUGAAUUUAACACACCUAUAUGAAAAUAACACAUAGUUCAGAAAGCUCAUAUGAUUCCCAAGAGUGUUCAAAUAAAAGGUAUAUUUAAUUCAUAUUUUUUAUUAUUUUUAUAUUUUAUAGAUUUUAUUUAAUUAUUUUGAUAACAUUAUAUCUCCUUCAAAAAGGUAAUAUUGAAAAAAGAGACCAUACAAUUAUCCUGUAUAAAUCAUUAAUUUAGAUCAUAAUACUUUUUAUUUUUAGUAGAUUUUAUCUUUAUUUAAAUUAUGUAAUCAAUAAUUAAUGUGAUUUUGAUUUAUAAUUAUGAUAAAACAUAUUCAAUAUGAUAUUAAAUGUAAUAUAUUAACAUUAUUUUUCUUUAUUUCUUUAAUAUUAUAAUAUUAUAAAUUAAGUUUAUAAUUUUUAAAAUAUAAUAGUGCGGUUAACUGUUAUUCAUUCUCAUUUAUCGUCUUCUAAGUGUUUUAAAAUAUUAUUUAAUCUUCAAAUUUUUUUUAUAUUGUAUUUUUAAUAUAACAAUUGUAUGUAUUUUAUAUUUAUAUGAUUUUUAAUUCAUUUAAUUUAAAAUUAUAAAAUAUUGUAUAACUAAUAUUAUAAUUUAAUAUAUUAUAUUUUAGAAAAAUAAAUCUAUUUUAAUAUAUAUGAUUUAUUUAUUAUUUAAAAUUAUAAUAUUAUUAUUUAAAUAUGAAAUAUUUAAAAUAUUCCCAUACACGAGUCGGUCAAAAUACUAGUAUACAUAUCUUUUAAAAGAACAAAAUUGUGUGUGUAUCUUUGAAGAUGGUCUAUUUGUUUACCACAUGCUGUCCAAACAGUGUUUGUUGGAAAGUGUGUCACAUAGAAAAAGAAUACCUCUUUAUGCUUUAUUCAAGGUAAUUUAAUUGCAUCACACAAACCAAGGAUCCAUCACAUUCAUGUUAAAGAACAGAACACAGAAUUCGGACAUAAGAAAAUAAGAAAACUACCUGCGUGAACUAGUUGAUAACAAAAGCAUAAUUUCCACAAGAGAACUAUUAUAUGAACAUGGUGCAUUGAUACCCAUUUUUCUUCUACACCCACUUUAUAAUUUUUUAUAAUUUUCAAAUUUAAUUCUUUGAAUUUUCAAAUUUUACUCUUUGAAUUUUCAAAGUAUACUUUUCCUGGUGUAUUCCACAGACAAAUUAUUCUUUCACACUACCAUUUUUUUCUCACAUUCACAUUUAUAACUCCGUUUAAUAAUAAAAUAUUUUAUUUAACUAAUAAAACAAAUAUAAACAAAAUUUUAAACUAAAAUAAUAAUAUCUUUAGAAAGAAAAAAAAAUGAUAGUAUCAAAGUAUCUGUAAGUAUUCCAUAUACCUGCAUUAUUGAAUCAGCUCUUAUAACAGAAUAAGCUAAUUCUCACCACACAGUCAUUUUCAUUUAUUUAUCCCACUAAACUAACAUAUAUGAAUAAAGUGGGUAGAUAUGAAAGGGAAAGAUUACAUUUUUCUGAGAGCAAUGAAGCUUGAAACUUAAAGAGAAUCAAGUCCUUGAACAAAAAGGGUACUAAAAUCUUCCAUCUCAGCUUUACUUAACACCAGUCCAAUCUCAAUUCCUCCACUGAUAUCCCUACUUUCACUGAGAGAAAAUGCUCCAGUUUUGUCUGUGGAUAUCAUAUCCACCUUCUUUGGCCUUCCCCACCCAAAAUCAAUACCAUAAACCUCAAACAAUGGAGAUCCAGCAGUAGAAAAGAAUCUAGUCUCCCUGGGUUUAUUCAUACCCGCACCAAAUCUUUCUGCUCCCUUCAACACUCCCUCUUCCUUCACCCUGUUCAAAGUCUCAACUAUCCCCUCCAAAGCACAAAUGAACCCAUCUUUUUCAACCAACUCCUUAGUCAGGACCACAAAGCUCCCUCCUGCAACGCAAUUUCCAAAAUAUGUGGCAGGAAUUGGAGGGUCCAACCGCGAUCUACAGUCAAUACUAAAUAUGAAAAACACAUUUUCUUCCUUCACUUGUUUCACUUUGACCAAACACGCCAACACAUAAGCACACGUAACACAAAAGGUUGACAGAUGAACAUUCCCUUUCAUCUUAGAGUUUCCAUGUUGUUUGAGCUUUAGAAUCUGUGAAGGGGUCAAUUCAAACAAACCUUUGAGUCCAUCGCUUGGUGCUUCCGUAAGAGACUCCCACACCUUGAGACUUCGGUUAUUGGAACCAUUCUUAUUCUUCCACGACUCCGCGUACAGUUCACCGAUUCCAGAAGGGUCUCUUAUCAAUGAUCUGUCAAAGAAAGGUGUAAGAUGCUGAGGUAAGGAUGGUGUAGUAGGGUUUUGAAGGUUAGAGCAUAUGUAGGCCCAUGAUUUGAGGAACAUGGUAGAAGAUUUUCCGUCGAAAGCUGCAUGGUGUGUGGUGAUUCCAAUGCAAAAGCCAGCAUUUGGGAACAAAGUGACUUGAACUGCCAACAGAGAUGACUUAUCAUGGGAAUUGGCCAAGUUGGGUGCUAAGUUGUGUCGUUGUGAUGCUUCACAGAGAUGGGAGGAAAGAUGGUUGAAGUUUUGGUGGGACUCAGCAACAGUGAAGGAAACAGUGUCACCGGGGAGAUAGUUGAUGAUGGGUUGGGGAGAGUGAGAAGGCCAUGUGAGGGUGCCGGCGAAAGGGAGAAAGUGUUGGAGAGUGAGGGAAAAAGAGUGUUUGAGAGAGGGAAGAAGAGAGUGAAGGAAUGAAGAGGUUGGGUGUGGGAAGGGAUAGAAGAAGAGACGUUGAACAGGUGGAAAUCGAAGCCAUAAGAGGUCGAAGAAGGUUAGUGGAAGGGAGGUGGGAAGAAGGGUUGGUUCAUGAAGUGGUGCCACUGAACAAACUUGGAUAACUUUGAGAGGUUCUGGGGAUGCUGCUUGUUCAGCCAUGGUUCAAAGGAAUGGAGAUGUGAGGCUCUUCAAAAGGAAGCCAAGGGAUGAGUUUUAUAGGAUGGGGGACCUUCAUAACCUAGUAGAACUACUUUUUUA